rnacentral:rRNA from 1 species
UGCAGUCGAGCGGAACGAUCCUAGCUUGCUAGGAGGCGUCGAGCGGCGGACGGGUGAGUAAUGCAUAGGAAUCUGCCCGGUAGUGGGGGAUAACUUGAGGAAACUCAAGCUAAUACCGCAUACGCCCUACGGGGGAAAGCAGGGGSUCUUCGGACCUUGCGCUAUCGGAUGAGCUUAUGUCGGAUUAGCUGGUUGGUGAGGUAACGGCUCACCAAGGCGACGAUCCGUAGCUGGUCUGAGAGGAUGAUCAGCCACAUCGGGACUGAGACACGGCCCGAACUCCUACGGGAGGCAGCAGUGGGGAAUAUUGGACAAUGGGGGCAACCCUGAUCCAGCCAUGCCGCGUGUGUGAAGAAGGCCCUCGGGUUGUAAAGCACUUUCAGCGAGGAAGAAUGCUUGUCGGUUAAUACCCGGCAAGGGAGACAUCACUCGCAGAAGAAGCACCGGCUAACUCCGUGCCAGCAGCCGCGGUAAUACGGAGGGUGCGAGCGUUAAUCGGAAUUACUGGGCGUAAAGCGUGCGUAGGCGGCUUGAUAAGCCGGUUGUGAAAGCCCCGGGCUCAACCUGGGAACGGCAUCCGGAACUGUUAGGCUAGAGUGCAGGAGAGGAAGGUAGAAUUCCCGGUGUAGCGGUGAAAUGCGUAGAGAUCGGGAGGAAUACCAGUGGCGAAGGCGGCCUUCUGGACUGACACUGACGCUGAGGUACGAAAGCGUGGGUAGCAAACAGGAUUAGAUACCCUGGUAGUCCACGCCGUAAACGAUGUCGACUAGCCGUUGGGGUCCUCGAGACCUUUGUGGCGCAGUUAACGCACUAAGUCGACCGCCUGGGGAGUACGGCCGCAAGGUUAAAACUCAAUGAAUUGACGGGGGCCCGCACAAGCGGUGGAGCAUGUGGUUUAAUUCGAUGCAACGCGAAGAACCUUACCUAC